rnacentral:rRNA from 1 species
ACAUGCCUAUAGCAUAACGUUAAUGCAUCAGAUACCACUAGAACUCCGCAUUUAAGCACGCUCAUUCUAGAGUAGUACUGGGAUGGGUGACCACUCUAGAAGUCCUAGUGUUUUACAUGCC